rnacentral:lncRNA from 1 species
GUCCACUUUUAUACAAAUAUAAAAUUCACUGAUUGUUAAUACAAAAUGUUUCACACUGCACAUAACUAUACAACAAGAUGCACAUGCAACUUUUAAUCAACAUUUCUUGUUUUUGAAAUGGCUUCCCAAUCUUCUACUUUCACAAUUGAUUAACCCAGUAUUCAAAUUUAAUACUGUAAAUUCAUAAACUAUUGUGAUGUUCUAUAUUCAUGCGAAUAUUGCAACUGCAUAAAUAUCACAAUAUUAAGAACAUGUAUAUGAUAUAUGAUACAUAUAUUUCCCUAAUUAUUUGUCAAUUUAUCUCUUUCUGGACCCAUUGUAUAAAAAAUUUAAUCAACGUGUGGUUUGUUUGAUUUCGGUUCUUCAUUAUUUCAAAUCUGAUUAUGACAUCGAUUUUAUUGCUUUCCACUGAAUUUCCUUUUGUGCCGGUAUGAAAAAAGAUGAUCAUGUCUGAUGAAGUCACAUAGAAAGAACAUGUCUUUUUACAGAUCAUUCGAAAAGUAGGAAUAAGUUUGCCUGCAUAUUGUUAGAAAAUUAUUAGAGAAACAGAUUCCACCACCAAAUCUCAUAAACGGUAUUUAUCCUCUCUCGACAGAUAAACUUUAGAUAUUAAAAACGCUUUGCAAGCCUCACAUUUUAAAUUUGAAAAUUUAACUGUCUCAAGCAGAUAAAUAUCGUAUCAAACUCGAUGCAGUGGUAGAAUCUAUAUCUAUACAC